rnacentral:lncRNA from 1 species
GGGUACAGACUAUGGGAAAAAAUAGGUGGUGGUAGGUCUUUCCAGGGUCAACGCCAAGGAGAGGCCUGAGAGGUGCAUAGCAAAGGCUGUGGCACUGACUCCAUGGCUCAGAGGAGGGAAAUCCAGGGAAGGGCUGAAUGCUCUGUGUUUAAGGGAGAGAUAGAAUGGACAGCUGGGCAAACACACACCCGGGGACUCCUUUCUCCAAGACCGAUGGGCAUUGGGGGUGGCAGAGGAAAUACCAGCAUGGAACAACAUCCCAGGGACCCGCGUCCUCCCCAGGUUACAGUCCUGGGUCCCUGCAUGGCUGCAUGUUGUCUGCAGGCCACAUCUCCUCAGGACUCCCGCACUCAUCACUUUCCCAUUGCUAUGGAAGAGAGGUGUCAAGGUGGCACCUGCCUCCCUGUCCGUAGUGCUCAGGUGUGUGGCUACCAGAGGAAAAGCCACUCCCAACCUUUGCCGACAACCAUCCCGUUUCUGGGUUCCUGGAGAAGUCUGGGAAGCUGCUCUGUUGUAGAGGCUGAAAGGAGGGCUGGUGAGAGCCCCCAGCUGAAACCAGCCCUGCCCCUUACCCUUCCUCACCCCUCUACCUUCACUCUCCUCCUAACACUCCAGGGUUUUGUUUUUUGUUUGUUUUUUGCUUUUCUCACCCCAGGGCUCCUGCCUCUCCAGCCUGGAGACAGAUUUGAUUUGGGAUUGUUACAAAAAUAAUAAUAACCCAAAUGCAGAGAAGCCACGGAAAGGGCUGAGGGCAACCCUCCCCUCCCCCCGCCCUCCUCCCUCCCCAUUCCAAACCGAGUACAAAACCGCACCCAAAGCAGACAUUCUGUACAGGGGGGUGGGUGGGCUGGGGAGCAAGCGGGAGGGGCGGCCCUGCGGUUGCUCUGUACAAGUCCGGGUUGGUGACGGCCCCAGCAGUCCCCACAGGGCCCCUGGGGGGCGCAGGAAGUGGGCAGGCGCCUCUAGAUGAAAUAUUCCUUCUUGUCGUCCCCUCCUGACUGCCCGCCUUCUGCAUUGAUGAUGGCCGUGUCCGCGUCUGGAGCAUCGUCGGAGCCUUUUGCCUCAUGUGUCAGUAGUGGCCAAGGAAGAUGAGCAUGAUGAGCAGCAGGAAGACAAUGAAAGCCACGAUCCCACCGAUGAUGGCGUGUCCCGCCCACUUAAGGAUAUUCCUGGAAGAAGAUGCAGUAGCUCCUUCUACCACCAGGCGUCAGCACUGGAAACAGACGCAGUCCAACAGGACUCCCUCUGCCUGGCUGUUGAGCACAAAGCAGAGGGGAGAUCAGCAAGAUACCAACCACAAGGGCACAAGAACUUUCUCUCACUGCCAAUCAUCAUCAGAUUGGUCUGGAGAGAUCUGGGGGCAGAGACCGGAGCUCAGUGCAUUGUCCUUGCUCUUGGCAUCCUACAAUAGCCUUGUUGUGCUGAGGCAGCUCCCACAUGCUGAGGUCUGCCCCUGGAGUGGGAAUCACCCAUCCAGACAUUCUGAUCCCAAGAACUCAGACCUCUUAUCGCUGGGAGGCCUGGCUCUUAUCCCCUCAACUGUUUUAAUGAGUGUCUCAAGUAAGGGAGCCUCUGAUGUUUCCCCGACAAUGCAUUUCCCCUAUUCUGAGAAAAGAUAAGACUUUCUGGCGGGACCCACAGCCAUUGGGAUCUUCAAAAAAAUCGCCCGUCAACUCUCCAUAAAGGGGCCUCUGUGUCACCCUGUCACUACUCCUGAAGCUGGGUUUUGUGGUCACAGCUUUGAGAAGAACUUCAGAGAAGGAGCAUCACCUGGUCCUUCUAGAAGAUAUGGCAUCUGAGAAAAGAUUCUGUCUCUUGGCAUAGUACAAGCUUCUCUCUAUUUUCUGUCCAGACCCAGUACACUGUGCUUAAGGUGGGCAGAAAAAAAAAUGACAGCAGUUGCAUGCACCCAAUACCUAGUCUUAGGAGAAGCAACUCUGAGAAGAGCCAGUUAGAGAAGGAAAUGCACCUGCGCCUGCACUUGAGAGGCUUUGGGGCCUCUGCACACAGAAUUAUUGUUCUUGUUGUCAGACAAGUGCAGGGGAUGGAAGAUGGUGUCACCCAGGCCACCACUACCAAAGAAAGGCAGAUGAGAGCCCACCCUUCUAAUGUUUUUUCACUAAGCGGCCAUUACACAUUCUAGAGUGGACCUGGGACCUAAGCCCUCAGGGACCCCAGUGGUGGGCUGGUUUUCCUUUACUCCACUCCCCGUCACAGUUUGGGGAUGUUAUCAGGAAGCAUUUUAAAAAAGGGAAUAAGAUGGACAGAGAAAGGAGAUUCUGGAGGAAGAGAACUGAGGAGGGCUUACCAUUAACAUUGAGGGUGUAGUAGGCCUUGUAGCUGCCCAUGUUGCUGGUGGCUGUGCAGCCGUAGGUGCCACUGUCACUCUUGUUGAGGAAAGGGAAGAUCAGGGCACUCUCCUGGGUCAUCUUCAGGGGUGGCACACUGCCCUCCUUCUCCCAUAGGUACUGCUGGGGGCUGUCGAGGCAGACAAAUCAGAAGAGCUCAGGAGAGCAUAGGCCAGGGAGCUAAAAGAAAAAAAAAAAUAACUGGGAGCAGGGAUGUCAAGGACUGUUUGAUGAGGCUGGAGAAAUUAUCGGGGCCAGAGACACUGGAGCUGCUAUACGCCAGGUGGCCUCUUGGGGUUCGUUCUGGGGAAGCUGUAGAUCUCCAGACUUGUAUCUUACUUUAACUUGGCCUUUGUGGGAAACUCAGGGACUGAGUUAGGGAGUGGCCCCUUCCCAUUUGUGCUGCUUUGCAGAAGAACUAAUUGCAGGCGGACAUUAUUGGACAGUCAGGGAAAUGAGAGGCUCAGGUCAGACAAUACAGAGGAGAUAGGAAGGAGCUGUUAUGUGAAGAAGGCAAUCUGAGAAUGUGGAGAGUAAGGAGGAGACCAGGAAAUGGAUCUUCUUACACUGGAUUGCCGCGACCCUCACAGUGUAGCAACAGCUUCUGGCCCUCACGAGGAUGGGGAGGGUCUGGCCUAAUCAUCGCAGUUGGUGUGUCUGUGGAGAAGGAAAUGGUAUCAAUGAAUACCUCCCCACACGGCUUAGGAGAUUCCCUCACUUAGUUGCACACUACAGCUUCUACCUCUAAAUGUUUCCGCAGCUCAAGAAGUGCAACAAAGACCUUCCUUCUCCUACUUCUCAUGAACAAGGACCAUUAUUGCUAUUGAAUAUGUGAGCAACUUCUCUUGCAACCUUGUGUGAUAGGAUUCUGGAAGGUCUGUCCUUGGUGGGCCCUAAGAGAUGUCUUAACAGAAAGCUGAGAAGGGAAAUGAGUGGUUUACCUGUGCCUAGCAAACCUCCUAGCACAUAGGAAAGACCUAAUACAUAUUUUUUACAGAACAAAUAAAGUUGAACUUGUCACAUAUUGAGCUCACAA